GACGAACGCUGGCGGCGUGCUUAACACAUGCAAGUCGAACGGAAAGGCCCCCUUGUGGGGUACUCGAGUGGCGAACGGGUGAGUAACACGUGAGUAACCUACCCUUGACUUUGGGAUAACUUCAGGAAACUGGGGCUAAUACCGGAUAGGAGCUCCUGCUGCAUGGUGGGGGUUGGAAAGUUUCGGCGGUUGGGGAUGGACUCGCGGCUUAUCAGCUUGUUGGUGGGGUAGUGGCUCACCAAGGCUUUGACGGGUAGCCGGCCUGAGAGGGUGACCGGCCACAUUGGGACUGAGAUACGGCCCAGACUCCUACGGGAGGCAGCAGUGGGGAAUAUUGCACAAUGGGCGGAAGCCUGAUGCAGCAACGCCGCGUACGGGAUGACGGCCUUCGGGUUGUAAACCGCUUUCGCCUGUGACGAAGCGUGAGUGACGGUAAUGGGUAAAGAAGCACCGGCUAACUACGUG
rnacentral:rRNA from 1 species